UAGGGAAUAUUGCGCAAUGGGGGAAACCCUGACGCAGCAACGCCGCGUGAGUGAGGAAGGUCUUCGGAUUGUAAAACUCUUUUAUUUGGGAAAAAUGACUUAGUGGCUAAUAUCCAUUAGGAGUGAUGGUACCAAAGGAAUAAGCACCGGCUAACUUCGUGCCAGCAGCCGCGGUAAUACGAAGGGUGCAAGCGUUGUUCGGAAUCAUUGGGCGUAAAGCGCGCGCAGGCGGAUCAGCAAGUCAGAUGUGAAAUCUCGAAGCUCAACUUCGAAACUGCGUCUGAAACUGCUAGUCUAGAGUGUCGGAGGGGGUAGGGGAAUUUCACGUGUAGGGGUAAAAUCCGUAGAGAUGUGAAGGAACACCGGGGGCGAAGGCGCCUACCUGGACGACUACUGACGCUGAGGCGCGAAAGCGUGGGGAGCAAACAGG
rnacentral:rRNA from 1 species